rnacentral:rRNA from 1 species
UACGUAGGGUGCAAGCGUUGUCCGGAAUUAUUGGGCGUAAAGAGCUCGUAGGCGGCUUGUUGCGUCUGCUGUGAAAUCCCGGGGCUUAACCCCGGGCGUGCAGUGGAUACGGGCAGGCUAGAGGCAGGCAGGGGAGAACGGAAUUCCUGGUGUAGCGGUGAAAUGCGCAGAUAUCAGGAGGAACACCGGUGGCGAAGGCGGUUCUCUGGGCCUGAUCUGACGCUGAGGAGCGAAAGCGUGGGGAGCGAACAGG